GUAAUACUGCUCUUCGACUUACCCUUCUUCGCACUUUAUAUAUCGAUACAAAGAACCACAGAAUAUGAACAGCUCAAUCUUGUGCGUUUUUUUUUCAUUGAGCAAUUCUUGAAUACACACGAACCUAGAAGUCUCUUUCUUUUUUCAGGGGCGUCCAUGACGAAUGAAGCUACAGGAGGCCCUUUGCCUCCGUAAUCUGUCUACGUCUCCUUCAUCAUCACUGUAGCUUUCUUCGGCGAACUGUAGAGAGCUAGAGACAAGAAUUGAUUGUUCUAGAGUUUUGGAGUCUCCACUUCCAUGAGUCAGUGAAGACCUGGCUGAUAGAUAAAAACCGUGAAGAUCUCCAAUAGGAACCCGAGCAUAGGAAGUCGUUGAAGUUGGACAUGAGGCAAAAUGACCAAAAGAAGUGUAGCAGUGGGUCACAAUAAGUAUAAGCAGAAGGAUGAGACAAUAAAGGCAGUAAGGACGGGGAGGGAUCACAAUCGAAGAACCAUCAAAAAAAAAAAGAGGAAGGGCAAACAAAACGGCCACCGUGGUUGAGAAACACAAAGUGUAUGAGAAUGUUAGCUAGAAGAGUUCCAAUUUAAUAAAUACAUGAAGCUGUGAUAUGGGGGUAUUCAUGAUCACAAUACAGAAGGUAAAUUCUUUGUAACUUUUGGAAGCUGUGGGGUUAUCACAAUCGUGUACUGCAAUUUGUUACCUGACCACUGCAGGAUUGGAUUCAUCGCCUUCCAAAUUCUUUAGAUGAAAUAAAGAUCAAAACCUCCCCAAGGUGGAUAGCUUCAGAAGCCUACCUAGCAAUGAUGACUUAGAGGGAGAUUACCAAGAUGACAUGAACUUAAAUGUUAACACAACUAAUAAUGUUAGUCUAGGAGGUUUAAAUGAUUCCAUCAGCGAAUCAGAUUGGAUGGAUGGUUCACAUCCCUGCUCAACUCAGUGAAUUAACUCAGUUCCUGCAACAAAGAAAAGCCACCGCGAUCAAACAUAGACUGGUGUAACUUGGACUCUACUUCUGAAUAUGUUCCACUUCAAGCAGAAAGCUAGAGCUGGAUAUGAUGUACAGUCCAAAUGCAAUUAUAUGAGGAUUCAAAACUUAUGAAAGUUUUCUCAUUCGUGAUCUUAAACGAAUGACAAAUAUGAGCUUCACGCGAAACAUCGAGUAGAACCGUGGCGAUGAUCAAGGGUUACGACACCACCAAUAAAUCAGGUCGACAUCAUGAAGGUCAGACCAAAAGCCAUCCCAAGAAUGGUGAUGUUAUCAGACAAGUUGGGAACUCAAAACUCCUUGGGCAAAAUCAAACUCAACUUACGUUACACUUUACUAUUUAAAGUGAUGACUCGAGUAAGACGGCAUCUAUGGUUAUAAGGUAUGCACAAGCGGAUGCUCUGUUUGUAUGGAACGGUCGUAGCAAAAUGCCUGAUUGUAACUGAAAAAAACAAACGCACAAGACGACAAGUUGGUGGCGAGUGAGAAUAAAAGUAUAUACAUACCCAAUAUAUAAAGUCCCAACUGUGCACCUGUGACAGAAACCAGAUUCUUUUCAGCACAUUCCGUUCAUGCGCUCAUCAAUACAAAUGUCGCGAAUAUUUUUAUAGUCUCACAAACAAUGAAAUGUCUGUUGGACAAACUGCCACGAGUAGUCAUAGUGAAAAAAGACGAAAAAAAUAUUGAGACAACAUAAUCAACUUCUCGAUAUCAU